AGAGUUUGAUCAUGGCUCAGAACGUACGCUGGCGGCACGCCUAACACAUGCAAGUCGAACGAAGUAGCAAUACUUAGUGGCAGACGGGUGAGUAACAUGUAGGUAUCUGCCCUUUGGCCUGGAAUAACACGAGGAAACUUGUGCUAAUACCGGAUAAGUCUUUACGGAGAAAGCUUUAUGCACCAUUGGAUGAGCCUGCACUUGAUUAGUUUGUUGGUAGGGUAAUGGCCUACCAAGACUGUGAUCAAUAGCUGAUUUGAGAGGAUGAUCAGCCACAUUGGGACUGAGACACGGCCCAAACUCCUACGGGAGGCAGCAGUGGGGAAUCUUGCACAAUGGAGGAAACUCUGAUGCGGCGAUGCCGCGUGAGUGAAGAAGGCCUUUGGGUUGUAAAGCUCUUUCGUCGGGGAAGAAAAUGACU
rnacentral:rRNA from 1 species